GAAGUUCUCCCCACAACUCUCUAAAUCAAGGCAAUUGAAGAAGGAUUUGAAGCUAAAAUCAAUGCAUGAAUGAAGAUCCUUCACCAUCUAGCUUUAAUAGACAUGUGGAAGCACAUUGCCACGGACUCAAGCAUGGAAGACUAAUGGGUCAAAAGGAGGCGAGGAAGCAAGCACGGACAAGGAUGCUUAAGGUUGAACGGAAUUAACAUCAUUAUGGAGUCUAAGAGGUUGAAGAUUGAGUCAAAGAGCAAGGAUUGUACGGGAAGAGCAGUCACAUGACUUGUAUUUAUAUGUUACAUUUGAUGCGUUAAUUAAGAAUGAAGGUUGUAAAUCUUUUCAAGAAAGUGUUUGACAUUUUAGAAAUGAACCUCCAAGUAUGUAAUAUAGAUAAGAAAUAAAGAAUUUUUGAGUCGGUAUU
rnacentral:lncRNA from 1 species